ACCUUGAUUAAAAUUGUAAUCUAACUAAUUUUUCUAUUUAUAAACAGAUGGAUUGUAACUGUGUCAAAUAGAUAUGAGCACUGAGAGGAAACAUUUAGUUUCUCUAAAAUCGAGUUUAUAUACUUAUACACCAUUCUUAACCAGAAUUUGCUAAUGAUGCAAAGAGAGGGUAUCUACUAAUAGGAACACUCGCUAGAAGCACAUCAAUUAAUGCUCUUGGCGAAGUUGGGCAUCCACUUGAAACUCCCUGUAUCUCUUCUGCUGCGUAAAUAUUUGCAUGCCAAUGGCCGCAGCUGCUGCUAAUUGGCAAACGCGAAAUCCGGAGACGGCAAUUCAUAUCUCUUCAUGUGUUUUUUUGGCACUUUCAACUUAAGGGGCAAACAUAUCAUAAAGACUCUGACAGACAGACGCCAAGAAGCGCUCUUUGAUAAGUAACCAAACUGUGGCAGAUAAGAAAGUCCCAGAAACGACGAACGGAAAUGCAAUAUUCGUUGCAUGCCAGGCAACAGAAAUAAGAAUGCAAAAGUAAAAUAAAAAUAAAUAUAAAAUGUAAAACGAACUGCAACUCAUUAAAAACGUUGGUUAACGCCAGUUGUCAGUGCAGUGACAUGGGUGCAACACCCAGGCGCAGAAAGGGUCAGCCGUUAGGACUUUACGGCUACACCUCAUUUUCACCUACCCACAGCUUUGAAUGAGUGACAUAUUGAUGGAUGGAAUUUCGGAAUUGCACAUACUUAAUAGGGCAAGCCCUCGAGAAGUCUAACGAAAAUGCAAAUAUAUAUAAUAUUCGAAAAUUCUGGUAAGUAUAUGGAGGUAUUGAACAGUUAAAAUUGAAUUAAUAUAUCUUUACCAAUUUUUAAGUAGAGAGAAAAAUCGAUAUUAGAUCUAAUUGGAUGUUUGUUAAGGCAUUUGGAUA